rnacentral:rRNA from 1 species
CAUGAGCUGUGAUGGGGAAGGAAAUUAAGUACGGAAGUUCCUGAUUUCACGCUGUCAAGAAAAGCCUCUAGGAAGAGUAGUACUGCCCGUACCGCAAACCGACACAGGUAGAUGAGGAGAGAAUCCUAAGGUGAGCGAGAGAACUCUCGUUAAGGAACUCGGCAAAAUGACCCCGUAACUUCGGGAGAAGGGGUGCUCUAUUAGGGUGCAAGCCCGAGAGAGCCGCAGUGAAUAGGCCCAGGCGACUGUUUAGCAAAAACACAGGUCUCUGCAAAACCGUAAGGUGACGUAUAGGGGCUGACGCCUGCCCGGUGCUGGAAGGUUAAGAGGAGUGCUUAGCUUCGGCGAAGGUACGAAUUGAAGCCCCAGUAAACGGCGGCCGUAACUAUAACGGUC